rnacentral:ncRNA from 1 species
GACAUGAAAUGAAUCGAGACUAGCCGUUGAAUUUGAGCAUGUUAUUGAGCGGAGGAAAGGAAAAUAACAGUGAUACCCUUAGUAACGGCGAAGCAAUCGGGAAGAGCUCAAAAUAAAAAUCGUGAGUCCCCUCUUGGCCUCAGAAGUUAUAGCAUCUAGAGGCGUGGCCAGGGUGAAAGCAAGUCUAAGUUGCUUGGAACAGAAACUCAGAGAGGGUGAUAGUCCCGUCUUUUAUCCUGCUUGUAAAUUUUCCCACGUACCGCGCGCUUUUACUGAAUCGCGCUUGUCGAGAUUUGAGGGCAAAACUUGUGAUAAGCUUCACAUAAAGAUAAAAACUGGCGUGAGACCGAUAGCGAGCAAGUACUGUGAAGGACUUCGGAAAGAGAAUUACAAGAGCAUGAAACUAGAGACGGGGAAGCGAGUGAAACCUUUGUGCUUCUGGGAUGGUGGUGGGUUUCAGUGAGCGUUUCUCCUAUAUUCCCAUUAUUGGGUUUGGGGGGUCCCAUUACUACUGUUACCUGUUGUGGUACCCCUGUUGCUGGUGAGAAUAAGUCGUUACCUGACUAUUCUCCCCAAAGAAGGUAGGUCCCUUGUGAGCUGUUAUAGCCUUCAGGUUCGGCUCGUUCAGCUUUCUGCCUAGGUUCGGCUUCCGCGUUUGCUGGAUCCACUUUCAAGUGCCGUCGUUCUGCGAUGCUGUCCUUGACGGUUUCAGCCGACCCAUUUUGGAACACGGACCAAGGAGCCUAACAUCUGUGAAAGUAUGCGGAUGGAAACCCUCUAUGCAUAAUGAAAGACUGGGUCUAGGGAGAGAUUUCCCUCUGGCAUUUUUCGCACCAACAAGUGAGAACGAACUCUGUGAGCGCUUUGAGCUGUAGGACGUCCGUUAGAACGCGAAAAAUGUUGAACUAAGCGGGAGUAGGGUGAACUCAGGGGAAAGCCUAAUGGACGCUCGCAGCCAUAUGACGUGCAAAUCGCUCGUCAAGCUGAGUAAAAAGGCGAAAGACCAAUCGACCCGUGUAGGACCUGGUUUCUUCCGACGUUUCUCUCACGAUAGCUGGAGUUCAAUUAGUUUUGUCGUGUAAAGCGAAUGAUUAGAGACCUCGUUGGCGCUUUGUCCUAGACCUAUUCUCAAAUUCAGUGCCUAGUUUGUCGAACUGCUGGGUUUAGUAUGAACUCCAAGUGGGCCAUUUUUGGUAGGCAGAACUGACGGUGGGGGAUGCUUCUAACGCAUGGUUAAGGUUUCCAAAUACUUGCUCUUUAGACACCAAUAUCCAUAGAUGAAUUCUCCCCACUCCCUAGAGGUGCAAAAGCCUUCAUGUACUUUAUCGUCCUGAAAUAAUCCGAAAAGAGGGAAAAAAAGAGGAACUGGGCAAAACAGGAGCAAUGGACAUCGAAAGCUGCUGCGCAGGUCCUCUGCUGCACUUGCCGACUAGUGGCGGAUGAACGCCUGGGACGGCUCAGU